rnacentral:rRNA from 1 species
GCCAGACUCCUACGGGAGGCAGCAGUGAGGAAUAUUGGUCAAUGGGCGAGAGCCUGAACCAGCCAAGUCGCGUGAGGGAGUACUGCCCUAUGGGUUGUAAACCUCUUUUGUCGGGGAGCAAAAGCCGGACGUGUCCGGCUGUGAGAGUACCCGAAGAAAAAGCAUCGGCUAACUCCGUGCCAGCAGCCGCGGUAAUACGGAGGAUGCGAGCGUUAUCCGGAUUUAUUGGGUUUAAAGGGUGCGUAGGCGGAAUGCCAAGUCAGCGGUAAAAUCGGGGGGCUCAACCGCGCUCCGCCGUUGAAACUGGCGGCCUCGAGUGGGCGAGAAGUAUGCGGAAUGCGUGGUGUAGCGGUGAAAUGCAUAGAUAUCACGCAGAACUCCGAUUGCGAAGGCAGCAUACCGGCGCCCUACUGACGCUGGGGCACGAAAGUGCGGGUAUCGAACAGGAUUAGAUACCCGCGUA